GUCUAUGGCCAUACCACCCUGAACACGCCCAAUCUCGUCUGAUCUCGGAAGCUAAGCAGGGUUGGGCCUGAUUAGUACUUAGUACUUGGAUGGGAGAAAGGGGAGGACAAAAUUC
ensembl:rRNA 5S_rRNA 5S ribosomal RNA